rnacentral:tRNA from 1 species
GUAGAGCUGAGCAUGCUGCCAGGUUCUCGGCGCACGCUUGGAAAGUGUGUGUACCCUCACAGGUACCGUGGGUUCGAAUCCCACUCUCUCCGCCA